rnacentral:rRNA from 1 species
UACGAAGGGGGCUAGCGUUGCUCGGAAUCACUGGGCGUAAAGGGUGCGUAGGCGGGUUAUUAAGUCAGAGGUGAAAUCCCGGAGCUCAACUCCGGAACUGCCUUUGAUACUGGUCGUCUAGAGAUCGGAAGAGGUGAGUGGAAUUCCCAGUGUAGAGGUGAAAUUCGUAGAUAUUGGGAAGAACACCAGUGGCGAAGGCGGCUCACUGGUCCGAUACUGACGCUGAGGUGCGAAAGCGUGGGGAGCAAACAGG